rnacentral:rRNA from 1 species
GUCUAUGGCUAUGCCAUACUGAACUUGCCCAAUCUCGUCUGAUCUCGGAAGCUAAGCAGGGUCAGGCCUGCUUAGUUCUUGGAUGGGAGACCACGUAGGCAUACCAGGUACUGUAGGCG